GUGCACUUCAGCAGCACAUGUACUAAAGUCGGGACAAUACAGAGAAGAUUAGCAUGGAUGACAUGGAAGCUUUUGAAGUGUUCCAUAUUCUU
rnacentral:snRNA from 1 species